rnacentral:rRNA from 1 species
ACAUCAACCUAGCAAUUUGACGGUAUUAACCUUCACAAAGGAGUUUGUCUUAAAAUCGAAAACACACGCUUAAUCUUACUUAACAAAAUAUUUGUAUACCUCCGUAUAGAAAUUAUUUUAAAUAAAUUUCAAAAUGAACUAUUUCAAAAUAUCAGGUCAAGGUGCAGUACUGUUAAGUUAUUAUGAACUACAAUAAUAAAAUAUAUUCGAAUAAUUUUCUGAAAUAUUUUUUUGAAGAAGGAUUUGUUAGUAAAUAUAUAUUAAUAUGUUAUAUUGAGAAACUACCAUUAAUAUGU